CUCUUCCAGCACCCGCUGCCUCCCAAGAGGAAAUACCUGCUGGUCUUCAAAGGGAAGAGGUACCUCACGGGCAUCGGCUCCGGCACCAGGAACGCUCUGCACCACAUCCACAAUGGCCGGGACAUCGUCUCCCUCACCACCUGCAAGCACGGCAAGGACUGGCAGCGGCACAAGGACGCGCGCUGCGACCGCGACAACGUGGACUACGACAAGUUCGACUACCAGGAGCUGCUGCACAACUCCACGUUCUGCAUCAUCCCACGCGGCCGCCGCUUGGGCUCCUUCCGCUUCCUGGAGGCGCUGCAGGCCGCCUGCAUCCCGGUGCUGCUGAGCGAUGGCUGGGAGCUGCCCUUCUCCGAGGUGCUCGACUGGGGCAGAGCCGCCGUCGUG